rnacentral:rRNA from 1 species
AGGAACGCUGGCGGCGUGCCUAAUACAUGCAAGUCGAGCUUAGUUUUUCUGGUGCUUGCACUAGAAAAACUUAGCGGCGAACGGGUGAGUAACACGUAAAGAACCUGCCUCAUAGACUGGGACAACUAUUGGAAACGAUAGCUAAUACCGGAUAACAGUAUUUCUCGCAUGAGAGAUAUUUAAAAGUUGGUUAUGCUAACACUAUGAGAUGGCUUUGCGGUGCAUUAGCUAGUUGGUGGGGUAAAGGCCCACCAAGGCGACGAUGCAUAGCCGACCUGAGAGGGUGAUCGGCCACACUGGGACUGAGACACGGCCCAGACUCCUACGGGAGGCAGCAGUAGGGAAUCUUCCGCAAUGGGCGAAAGCCUGACGGAGCAACGCCGCGUGAGUGAAGAAGGAUUUCGGUUCGUAAAGCUCUGUUGUUAGGGAAGAAUGGAUAUGUAGUAACUAUACAUGUACGAGACGGUACCUAACCAGAAAGCCACGGCUAACUACGUGCCAGCAGCCGCGGUAAUACGUAGGUGGCAAGCGUUGUCCGGAAUUAUUGGGCGUAAAGCGCGCGCAGGUGGUUUAAUGAGUCUGAUGUGAAAGCCCACGGCUCAACCGUGGAGGGUCAUUGGAGACUGUUAAACUUGAGUGCAGGAGAGAAAAGUGGAAUUCCUAGUGUAGCGGUGAAAUGCGUAGAGAUUAGGAGGAACACCAGUGGCGAAGGCGGCUUUUUGGCCUGUAACUGACACUGAGGCGCGAAAGCGUGGGGAGCAAACAGGAUUAGAUACCCUGGUAGUCCACGCCGUAAACGAUGAGUGCUAAGUGUUGGUCUCAUAAGAGAUCAGUGCUGCAGCUAACGCAUUAAGCACUCCG